CUAUGAUUUUGGGAAAUGUGUCCUAGUUUAUUUUCUUGAACUGCUAUUUCUUAUCCUGGACUACCACCUACUGGAUAGAAAAGGCAACAACCUAGUAAUUAUG